UUUCUUCUGUGUGAGCAGGCUGUUGUUCCCAGGAUGCUCAGUGUGUUUUCAGGGAGAAGGAGGCAAUUGGUAGGGCCAGCAGUCAGUGCCUGGUCGUUGGGCUCUCAACCACAGCAACGAUCUGCAGGAAGGUGGCACAUGUUGCUCCUAGUUGCGGCACCCUGGGAGGUGGUAAUACGCUCUAGGCAGAUUUUCGAAGUGACCAGAGAAUUAGACAGAAGCAGCAGCAGCGUUUGUGAAUUCCCAGGGGAGUGAGAGCAACAUCAGCUUGUGUUUGAUUGCAGUGCCCUCCUCUGAGGUGACUGGAACCACAUGUGGUGCCUGUUCAGGGACCCUAGUGGGAGCGGGCCAUGACCAUCUCUAGAGUCAGUGAUAACUGUAGUGGUUUGCCCCCACCACCCGUAGACUAUGCAUGAAGUAACCAGGGAGACUGAUAUUUGAAGUGGUUAGCCAUCUGUUACCUCUGUGACCAUAGGGCAAAUCCCUUACAUUUUGUAAGCCUUCAUUUCUUCAUUUGUCAAGUGAGGAUUAGAACGUCUACCUUAAAAGGUAACCAAGAGGAUAGAGUCACAAUGGUUGGCAUAUAAAAAACAUUUCAAGGAGUUCCCAUCAUGGCUCAGCGGAAACAAAUCUGACUAGUAUACAUGAGGACGCAGGUUCGAUUCCUGGCAUCUCUCAGUGGGUUAAGGAUCUGGCGUUGCCAUGAGCUGUGGUGUAGGUAGCACAUACGGCUCGGAUCUGGCAUAGGCCAGCAGCUGUAGCUCCUAUUCGACCCCGAGCCUGGGAACCUCUAUAUGCUGCAGGUAUGGCCCUAAAAAGACCAAAAAGAGAAAAAAAAAUUCAUAGAAAUUAAAUAUUCCAAAUCUAAUGCCUGUAUUUUCCUGAUAAAAAUGCUAUUUCUCACAGAACGUUUAGGUUAACAGCACAUUCCAGGCCCCUUGGCAAUAGAAUUCUACUCUUAGGGCAGGGCUCCUGAUAUCUACUACUUGGUCUGGUUCUCCCAGAUACAGAGCCUGGGUCUGGGUUGGGGUGCAUAAAUCUCAUCUUCAAUACCUGUAGGGACUAAUGAAACAGGAUCCUGACAAGCUGCCAACAGUUGGCUUAGCAUCAAGGAGCAGUCUUCACUGCUNGUAGCUAUUGACUAUCAUCUGACAAGACGACUAUAUGAAAGCAGCAGUUAGCAUCUGCAGGAGACCACAGAGAGGCAGGAGGGAGAGAAACACCCUGAUAGUUAGCAAUGGGCACCCUGUCUUCUUUAUAAACCACUUUUGUCUGGGCCUAACUCUUUUCCCUCAAGUCACUUUAUGUGCUACGUUUGCCCAUUAUGACAAAUGUGACAUUUCCGCAUUUUAUAACUUGGUUCUUAUGCUUAGACAUCCUGACCUAAACAUGGGCUCUGGGCAGCAGCCUCUACAACAUUUAUUGCUGAACUUGCUAUUCAUUAUUCCAUGUCAAAGCCACUGAUUACUUGACAUGAGUUGACAGUCAACUGCAUGUACAGCUAUGAGGUCAAUCAGAUGAAGUUCAUUGUCAAGGUUUCAGUUCAAAGGACUUUGUCAGAAAGUAGUUUCUCUCUUUAGGUAUCUGCCAGGUAUCAACAAAGCUCCAUUAUUUAGAUGGAAAUUACCAUUCCUUUCUAGGAAAGUAUUUCCCACUUGGCCUGCAUGCAGGAUCAUAUCUCAACAAAACCUCAGGAUCAACAUACUUCUUUCCUGCCUGUCAGAAUGAAAUACUAAUCAUGGGGCCCAUCAAUCCUGAUGCUGCCUCCUUAUUUUUUAUAACCAAGGUCAGUUUGCUCAAAAUUUACAGUUGCCAUGCAAAUUAAAAUAAAAUCAUAAGAAUUCUUGGCAUUUGUUACAGUGCUGAUAGUGUCUUAUUUUUCAACAUUUUAAGUUAGUGAAGAGGGAAUAUUUGAAAAAUGUAAGGUGAUAGAAGAGCCAUUUGCUUUCCUGAAAAUAACACUCACAUGCUUUAAGCAAACAUAGUUACAAAUUAGCCUAGCCAAUCAGUCAGAGAAACACUGAGCAUCUAGUUUAUUGGAUUAAUCAUCUUUUGGAACAUUUAGAAGCAUGUAAAAAUGUCUGUGUCCAUGGAUUAUCAGAACAUCCAUUUAAGGCAGUAGUUAGGAAGCAAUUUACUCCUCUUUAGGAAAGGAAGCCAUCACAAGUGGAGAAAUUGGAAUGAAACAAUAGAAAGUCUUAGUUUUCUGAAAUAGAGUGAUAUAAAAUGGGAUCUCUCUAUCCCUACCAGCACCCUAAUUUCAGGAGGGAGUACUUUGGUAGGAUCCUUGUGGUUGACUCAUAAUGUUCUAAUGUGCUCUUUUACAGAACCAUAAAGUGAGACGAUUGUUCUAUACUUCCAACGUUUUAAGAAGUAUACCUAGUAUCUUUAUCAUUUUGGGUUGUUAUGCUAAAAGUUUUGGUAGCUGUAACCAUAACCAUUGACUAGGUGGCUUAAACAAACAAACAAAAAACAUUCAUUUCUUACAGUUUGGGAGAUGGGAAGUCUAAGAUCCAGGUACUGGCAGAUUUGGUGUCUGGUGAGAGCCCACUUCCUAGCUCAUAGACUGCUAUCUCUUUGCUGUGUCCUCACGUGGUGGUGAGAGAUUUCUGAGGUCUCUCUUUUCAGGGCAUUAAUACCAUUCACAAGGCCUCUACCCUCAUGACCUCAUCACUCCCAAUGGCCCCACCUCCUAAGGCAAUUACAUUGGGAGUUGGGAUUUCAGCAAAGGAAUUAAGGAAGGGCACACCAUUCAAUGCAUAACACUCAGAGGGGCCUGUUCUUAAGUGACCCUAUUUCUUCACUGUAGUGAGAACUCCCUGAGAAAGGACUGUUUCUUUGAGGGGAGGAGUUCUCAGGAGAGAACUAUCUCUUGGAAACAGAGAUCGCCACCAGUUGAUACCUGCUUCAUUUGAAAAUGACAUGGUCAUUGUUCUUUUGCUCUCUGAGGAGGUGAACUUUUCAAAGAGAACUGAAUUAAAAUGAGGACAGCAGGUAAAGACCUGUGAAAAGUGUGUUCCACACAAAGAGAACAGCAAAUAUAAAAGCCCUAGGGCAGAAACAAACUUGACGUACUUGAAAAAUAGCAAGAAGGCUGUUGUGCUAAAGUUGAUUGAGUCAUAGAACAGAAUAUAAAAUCAAAGAGAUAGGUAGCAGUCAGGUCACAUAAAGCCUUGUAAGUCAUACUAAAGGGUUUAAAUUUUAGUAUGUGUCUUGUGAGAAGCCAGUGAUCGAGGGAAAGACAUGAUCCCAUAGCCCAUUUCUGAUUGACACUAGGGUGGCACAUGUGGAAUGAGGGAGACCACUUGAGCCCCUGCGCCAGUCCAGAUGAUGAGGUGGCUUGGACCAGAGUUAUAUUAGUGGAGAUGGAGAGGUGAAGUCAGGAGAACUUGCCAAUGAAUUAAAUGUAAUGGGUGAAGGAAAGAGAGCAAUCGAAGCUGAUACCUUAGUUUCGGCCUUGGUAAGCAUUUUGGCAAAUGGUGGGUCCGUUACUAAUAAUAAGGAAGAAUAAUGGUGGGAGGUGAGGAUCAUGAGUUCAACUUUAUACAUGGUAACUUUGGGCUACCUACUAGACAUCCAAAAUAAGAUGUCAAGUAAGUUGUAGGAGUAAGUGUCUGGGGCUUAGAGGGAAACUUAGGGCUUAGAAUAUAUAUUAGGGAGUCAUUAGCAAAGAGAAGAUAUUUAAAUUAAAGAGAAUGGAUGAGAUCACCUAGGUAACAAGUGUUAGCAGAGAACAGGAAAGGGAUGAGAUAAGGGGUUUUCCAGCAUUAGAAGUCCGGAAGAGAAGGAUGAGCCAACAAAUAUAACUGAGAAAGAGUGACCGGUGAUCUAGGAAGAAAACUGGAAAGUAUAAUGAUAUGAAGCCAGCUUUCAGCAAAGGCAAGAAUGAUCAAUUGUGUCAAAUAUUCUUUAAAGAUUGAGUAAGAUGAGAAUAGAUCAUUGACCACUGGAUUUUUUUUCUCAUCCACCCUCUCCUAGAAUAUAGUUCUCCUUGUGCUGCAAAAGAAGCAUAGCAGUAUAAUUGUGUGCUUAUUAAUUAUACUCAUUGUAAUUGUCAUUCAUUUCCUUCUGCCCUCUCUUUGCAGAAGCCACUCUCAGUUUAGGAAUAUGCCAUGUACAGUGAGUUAUAGAAACAAGGUCAUAUUUAACAAGUUUGUUCCUGUUCAGGAACACAUCAAAGCCUGUUUGAUUAAAUGUACUACUAUGCCAGAACUAGAAUAGCUCUUAGAGAUGACCUAAUCCCCAUUUUAUUGAUGAAGAAACCAAGACCAAUGGGAAAGAGAAUUGCCAAAGGGCACGCAGCAGAUUAACCUCAGAGCUGGGACUAGAACUCAAAUCUCAUGUGUCAGAGGUGAUUACUCUUUGUGUUUAUACCGCUGUGCUAUUUCUUCCAGCAUAUGUGAUUAAUCUCUUGGGUCUUAAAAACUGUUCUAUCUUUAAUAGAGCAUGAGUAAAGUGAAAAAAAUCUAUAAAGAAAUAGCACUUAAACUAGUUUAGGUGCAAACCCUUUAGAAAUGGAACGCAGUUACCUAGAUGAGGGGAGGAAGAUGAAGUUGGGGUGGGUGAAUCACAAGAUCCUGAAGACAGAGGCAGAAUUAUGGAGAAAAGCCCGGUCUGACUUGGGUUUGAAUCCCAGUUCCAUCUAUUUCUACUGUAUGAUCUCUGUUAAGUUUCUGAAGAACCUCAUCUAUAAAAUAGGGGUAUUAUAUAGGUCCUAUUGAUAAAUUAUGAAGAUGAGGAAUGACACAUCUCAAACACUCAGCUUUUUCUUGAUGUGUGAUAGACAUUCAAUACGUAUUAGCUCUUGACUGCUAUUUUAUCUUCCUUCAUUUUUCUUCUGCUUCAGUGCUAUGGGUCUCACUUCUAGCAUCCCUAGAUCAAGCCAGUGUCUCUAGAGUCUGGUUGCUCCUGCCUCUGGCCACUGUUGUCAGCCCUGUGGCUUCCAGACCUCUGGCUGUUGUGCCUCCUGGCAGACUAGAAGGAAGGCCUUUAAAACUGCCGGGAGCUGCUAUUACCUGCUUCAGGGCCCCUGUGCAGGUCAGGCUGUCAUCAUCGGGUACAGCCAGGGCUGAGACUGUUUCUCCUCUUUCCUAAGGCUCUUUCUACUGCUUCCUUUUUGCAAAGAAAAAUGCCUAAAUUCUUAUGGAUGAAUACUUUUAAGAAAGAGAAGGCUUCAUUUAAACUAGAAGUUUGAUGAGGUGUCUUCAGCAUGUGUUAGUCCCCAAACCUGGAAUUUUGACUUACAAGGGGAGUUAGACAUGGAAACAAUGAACAAUUUCCCAAUUGAGUGAACUGACCACUCGGAGGUGCAGGAAACUUGCUAUGAGGUUGUAGAGUGGGGGAAAGGAAGAAGGCUUCCUGGAAUGGGUCUGGUUUAAGCUGGAACUUAAAAGAUAAGUAGUAUGUCAGUGAAUGGAUAAUUAGGGAAACUACAUUUCAUGCAAAGGUAUGCAGACAGCAAACAUGGGUGCUGUUUAGAGGAGAGGGAGUUAGGGAUUAAAAAGAGUACAGCAGGGACAAGCUUUUUAUUGAAGAAGCUCAAAUGCUUUGCUUAGAAAUUUGGAUAUGAUUAAUGAUGGCAUAGGAUGUGAGGAGAUAUAAGAUAUCUAGAGGCUAUCAGGUAUAAACACCUCAUUUUACAAAUGAGAAGACUGAAGUUCAGAUAAAAGAAAUAAUUUGGCCAGUAUCCCAUGGCAAGUCAGUGGCAGAAACUGGAACUGGAACCAAAGCUUACUGAUUCCCAAGCCAAUAUCCUUUCUAUCCAUUACUUAUAACUUCUGUCCAUAAGAGGGAACAAUUGUAGACAGAUUGAAAGGCAGCAUAAGGUCUGAGAUCUAUUUGGGAAACCUAAAUAAAUGAAAAAUACAUUAAGAAAGCAUUGUGAUCAUUCCUUAAAAGUACUUUGGAUCUAGAAGUAGGAUGGAGUCUUAAGAGUUUUUGUUGCUGCUCUGCCCAUCCUGUUGUACUUUCUUAUCUGUCACAGAGACAUAACGGCAUAUAUCUCACCUUCCUCAUGUGUUGGGAGGGUUCGGAACUAAUGAGGACCCGAGGAAGCAGGAAAAGAGAACUAGCUAAAGGAGAGAUGAGAUGGCUUGGUGGAAGUCAACAAUUCCUUCCUCUCUGGUCUUUGCUCCUGAUCUGGAAAGAUUUCCAAAAUGAAUGUGGAGAUGAAACUGAAGACAACUAAAGAAUCAGACACUGAUGUUAAGGGCUAACUGAACUGCAUGCAGGGUCACCAAAUGGGAUGGGUUAAGUGACAUGAAUGGUAAUAAACAUCAGUGUUCUCAAAUUCUUACCGAUGCUUGUUUAUUCUAGAGAAAAAGCUACAAAGGGUUUCAUGGCCAAGCUAGAAAACAGUGUCUAGAUGAUGCUGUUUUCUAAGUGAUUUUUCUGAUCUAAAGAACUGGAGAGUCAGAACCCAGAAGUUUGGCUUCCAUGCAGUUGCAUACUACGUUGCCUUCAUAACCUUAGCAACAGCUUCUCUUCCUCUCUCAGCUAUUGGUUAUUGCUAGAUGA
ensembl:lncRNA